rfam:Serratia fonticola strain DSM 4576, complete genome.
CUUUAACAAUCUGGAACAAGCUGAAAAUUGAAACAUGACAGCUGAAACUUAUCCCUCCGUAGAACUAUUGGGGUAAGGAUUAACCUGUCAUAGAGUCUCUCAAAUAAACAGCACGACAGUGUUCUCUGUUUACAGAAACACCUUCGG